GAUGAACGCUGGCGGCGUGCCUAAUACAUGCAAGUCGAGCGAACAGACGAGGAGCUUGCUCCUCUGACGUUAGCGGCGGACGGGUGAGUAACACGUGGAUAACCUACCUAUAAGACUGGGAUAACUUCGGGAAACCGGAGCUAAUACCGGAUAAUAUAUUGAACCGCAUGGUUCAAUAGUGAAAGACGGUUUUGCUGUCACUUAUAGAUGGAUCCGCGCCGCAUUAGCUAGUUGGUAAGGUAACGGCUUACCAAGGCAACGAUGCGUAGCCGACCUGAGAGGGUGGUCGGCCACACUGGAACUGAGACACGGUCCAGACUCCUACGGGAGGCAGCAGUAGGGAAUCUUCCGCAAUAGGCGAAAGCCUGACGGAGCAACGCCGCGUGAGUGAUGAAGGUCUUCGGAUCGUAAAACUCUGUUAUUAGGGAAGAACAAAUGUGUAAGUAACUAUGCACGUCUUGACGGUACCUAAUCAGAAAGCCACGGCUAACUACGUG
rnacentral:rRNA from 1 species